rnacentral:rRNA from 1 species
GAUGAACGCUGGCGGCGUGCUUAACACAUGCAAGUCGAACGAUGAUGCCCAGCUUGCUGGGUGGAUUAGUGGCGAACGGGUGAGUAACACGUGAGUAACCUGCCCUUGACUCUGGGAUAAGCCUGGGAAACUGGGUCUAAUACCGGAUACGACCAUCUGGCGCAUGUCAUGGUGGUGGAAAGCUUUUGUGGUUUUGGAUGGACUCGCGGCCUAUCAGCUUGUUGGUGGGGUAAUGGCCUACCAAGGCGACGACGGGUAGCCGGCCUGAGAGGGUGACCGGCCACACUGGGACUGAGACACGGCCCAGACUCCUACGGGAGGCAGCAGUGGGGAAUAUUGCACAAUGGGCGCAAGCCUGAUGCAGCGACGCAGCGUGAGGGAUGACGGCCUUCGGGUUGUAAACCUCUUUCAGUAGGGAAGAAGCGAAAGUGACGGUACCUGCAGAAGAAGCGCCGGCUAACUACGUG